AUUGAACGCUGGCGGCAGGCCUAACACAUGCAAGUCGAGCGGAUGAAAGGAGCUUGCUCCUGGAUUCAGCGGCGGACGGGUGAGUAAUGCCUAGGAAUCUGCCUGGUAGUGGGGGAUAACGUCCGGAAACGGGCGCUAAUACCGCAUACGUCCUGAGGGAGAAAGUGGGGGAUCUUCGGACCUCACGCUAUCAGAUGAGCCUAGGUCGGAUUAGCUAGUUGGUGGGGUAAAGGCCUACCAAGGCGACGAUCCGUAACUGGUCUGAGAGGAUGAUCAGUCACACUGGAACUGAGACACGGUCCAGACUCCUACGGGAGGCAGCAGUGGGGAAUAUUGGACAAAGGGCGAAAGCCUGAUCCAGCCAUGCCGCGUGUGUGAAGAAGGUCUUCGGAUUGUAAAGCACUUUAAGUUGGGAGGAAGGGCAGUAAGUUAAUACCUUGCUGUUUUGACGUUACCAACAGAAUAAGCACCGGCUAACUUCGUG
rnacentral:rRNA from 1 species